ensembl:lncRNA
AUGGCUUCUUCUAUUGAACAAGCUGUCGUGCCGUUAUCGGUCGAAGUAGGGCAUCUGGUAGGUGCUCACAAAGAACGGUAUUUGGUUGGAGAUCGCAGGAUUGGAUACCGACCCUUACCUUCUUCCUCCCUCCGUUUUCACGGACCUCUGGAUGCUUACCAGUUCUUUGUAGCUGGCUGGGUUACAGGUACGCGAUGCUACGCUCACGGCGGGGGGAGGUACCUCAUAAUGGCAAAGCCACUUCAACAUUGUAAAUAAACCGGAAGCUGUCUGCCUCUGACCUUGAGAAAAAAAUGUGAUGCGAAGUCACACCAGAGCAGGUAUAUUCAUCCCUUUUAAUCUCAUAUGACUAAAAUGUGCAUGAAAGUGUCAUGUCAUUAAUUUCUUCAUGUAUAAUUUGAAAUGUUGUAGGCAGUAAAAGUUGAGAAAGAGACACGACAACAGGUAAAGUCAAGGCUGUGGUUUGACAUGAGGGCUGGUAGGGUGACGGCAUCCAGGUUCAAGUCAGCUGCAAGGACAGACCCUACAAAUCCUUCCAAAUCCCUAAUUAGGCAGAUCUGUUACCCUGACCUAUCCAGAUUUUCAACAGUUGCAACCAGGCAUGUGUGACAUAAUGACACAAACAUACAAUUUCAGAUUUUAAUCUCACCAUGUGAGUGUAAGUGAGUAAAGAAAUUAGAUGUGCUUUGAACUGUCAGCAUCAACUAUGGAAAUGUAUGCAAUACAUUUUGUGUUCUAAUGUAGAGGGCCCCUGCUUUGUAAAAAAACAAAAAAAACAAACACAAGACAAAGAAAUGCAUUUAUCAUUGGAAUAUUUAUUGCAGUCAGUGUUACAAAUUCUCAACAUUAAGUUACAAACAUGAUGAAAGAGUGCAUCAGUCAAUCUCUUUGAGUGCCCUUAUUUAUUUGUCCUCCCAGGUGUAUGGUACAGCUGCACGAUUAAUCGUUAAAAGAUUGCGAUCUCGAUUCAAACACCCACGCGAUCUUAUUCCUGAAUGACCACAAUCAUUUAUCUAGUGGUGUAGGUCCUAUUUAUUCCUAAAGUUCCUGUUAUAUUGUUCCUGUUAAAUUUAAUUUACACUUUUUUUAAACUAGUCUGUGAUAGAAUAUGAUACAAGAGAAUAUUAUGUGCUAUAAAGAUUAGGCCAAUUUUUGGUACUGGCAUCUAUAGUACUUAUAGUUCUUAGCGAAAUGAGAGAAUAAAUCCAAUGUAAAGGGCA